UGGAAAUCUGUUAAAAAAAAACUUCGCGCAAAAUUGACCUUGACAUCAAGAUCAAAUUUGUUGUUGUUCGUCAAGAGGGACAAUAGUCUUAAAAGAAUCAUGGGUUACAAGUCAACCCUUUACAAAAAAAACGAUGUUAAAAACGAUAUAUAAAAAUCAUGUCGAUGGUUCCAGAGAAAAUUGUGUGCAAAAAUUAAGGUUAGGGAUCCUGUACAUUAUAUACACAUAUGUAUCUGUAUUUAUGUUGACACCUUUUGUUUUAAGUUUGGUGUCUGCAUUUUGUCGUUUAUUGUUUCUCACAUCGACAAUGCAUCACUAUUGAAGGAGAAAUGAAACUGUUCAUAUUACUCUAGAUUUUUUAAUUAAAAGUGUAAUUCUUGAAUUGUCCUGCCAUCAGAAAGCAAUUUCUUACAAAAUGCCAAAAGUUAGAAAAUUGAGUGCGGCAGAACGAGUACAAAUUUAUAAUUGUCGAGCAAGUGGCGAAUCUUUGAAAAAAAUUGCUAUAGACUUCAGCAUUUCAAGAGAAGGUGUAAGAAAGAUAUUUCAAAAAAUAAAUAUUACUCGAAGACUAGAAAAUUUAACUAGAACUAUAGGAAGUAGGAAGCCAACCAAUCAUCAAGAUAGACAAAUAGUUUGAGAAGUUAAAAAAAUCCAUUCCUUCCAUCCUUCAUCCAUUCCUAAUACCAGAAAAUUGAAAGAAAAUUUAUAUUUGCCCAUUAGAAUUAUAUAUGUAUAUCGUGAAAAAGGCCAUAUAUUUCAAAAGUCGAUGCUGCAAAGCGUUUAAGAUUUGCUGAAGAAUAUUAUAAAAAACCAAUUUCGUUCUGGGAAACAAUUAUUUGGAGUUGAUGAAUCCAAAUUUGAAAUGAAAUUAAGUAAAAGAAGAUAAUAUGUAUGGAGGAUGCCCCAUUAUGAUAUAGAGCUGUUUUAAUAACGAUCGAUGCAUAAAAUUGAAAAAAAUAGGUCAUUCGUCUUUCAGCAAGAUAACGACCAGAAGCAUACAUUAAGGAUUACAAAAGAAUUUUUUUUUGCUUCCAUGACCAUCUCAAAGCCUCAA